rnacentral:rRNA from 1 species
GACGAACGCUGGCGGCGUGCUUAACACAUGCAAGUCGAACGGAAAGGCCCUGCUUUUGUGGGGUGCUCGAGUGGCGAACGGGUGAGUAACACGUGAGUAACCUGCCCUUGACUUUGGGAUAACUUCAGGAAACUGGGGCUAAUACCGGAUAGGAGCUCCUGCUGCAUGGUGGGGGUUGGAAAGUUUCGGCGGUUGGGGAUGGACUCGCGGCUUAUCAGCUUGUUGGUGGGGUAGUGGCUUACCAAGGCUUUGACGGGUAGCCGGCCUGAGAGGGUGACCGGCCACAUUGGGACUGAGAUACGGCCCAGACUCCUACGGGAGGCAGCAGUGGGGAAUAUUGCACAAUGGGCGGAAGCCUGAUGCAGCAACGCCGCGUGCGGGAUGACGGCCUUCGGGUUGUAAACCGCUUUCGCCUGUGACGAAGCGUGAGUGACGGUAAUGGGUAAAGAAGCACCGGCUAACUACGUGCCAGCAGCCGCGGUGAUACGUAGGGUGCGAGCGUUGUCCGGAUUUAUUGGGCGUAAAGGGCUCGUAGGUGGUUGAUCGCGUCGGAAGUGUAAUCUUGGGGCUUAACCCUGAGCGUGCUUUCGAUACGGGUUGACUUGAGGAAGGUAGGGGAGAAUGGAAUUCCUGGUGGAGCGGUGGAAUGCGCAGAUAUCAGGAGGAACACCAGUGGCGAAGGCGGUUCUCUGGGCCUUUCCUGACGCUGAGGAGCGAAAGCGUGGGGAGCGAACAGGCUUAGAUACCCUGGUAGUCCACGCUGUAAACGGUGGGUACUAGGUGUGGGGUCCACUCCACGGGUUCCGUGCCGUAGCUAACGCUUUAAGUACCCCGCCUGGGGAGUACGGCCGCAAGGCUAAAACUCAAAGGAAUUGACGGGGCCCCGCACAAGCGGCGGAGCAUGCGGAUUAAUUCGAUGCAACGCGUAGAACCUUACCUGGGUUUGACAUGGAUCGGGAGUGCUCAGAGAUGGGUGUGCCUCUUUUGGGGUCGGUUCACAGGUGGUGCAUGGCUGUCGUCAGCUCGUGUCGUGAGAUGUUGGGUUAAGUCCCGCAACGAGCGCAACCCUUGUUCACUGUUGCCAGCACGUUAUGGUGGGGACUCAGUGGAGACCGCCGGGGUCAACUCGGAGGAAGGUGGGGAUGACGUCAAGUCAUCAUGCCCCUUAUGUCCAGGGCUUCACGCAUGCUACAAUGGCUGGUACAGAGAGUGGCGAGCCUGUGAGGGUGAGCGAAUCUCGGAAAGCCGGUCUCAGUUCGGAUUGGGGUCUGCAACUCGACCUCAUGAAGUCGGAGUCGCUAGUAAUCGCAGAUCAGUAACGCUGCGGUGAAUACGUUCCCGGG